GUGAUCUGGAGCUUACGUUUAACUCUCCUCCCUCCCUUUCUUGGAGCCAGAAGACCAGUUUUUAUUAUUAUUUUUAUUUUAUUUUAAACUUCACAUCUAAUCAAGUUAGAUGUAGUGCUGGAUUUGUCUCCUACAUGUUCAUCUGCCCUCCCUAGGAGAUACUAAUGGACUACUGCGACUACAGGAGGGGAAAGGGUGACUGGUGUCCUGAGGGAAUACCUGAUGCCUGUCAUCACAGAACAGGUGGAACGUCGGAAACAGGCACUGUAUUCCAGAGGAUUCAAAAAAGGAAGCAAGAAGAUGGAUUUAAAACUUGAAGAUAUGUAUUUUCUAGUGCAGGGUGUUUUGUACUGGUACAUGAACACCUGAUGGGACUACUUGACCAAAUUGGGAGCAGUUAGUAGUUCUCUUCAUUAACAUCUUUAGACAAAAAGGAUUGCAAGUUAAUAGGAGCAAAACAGUUGCUGACAUCUGAGUACGUUUGCUCAUCAACAGCUUUUUCUUUCCUUCUGCUACUUCAAGUCCAUGGAAUUAUGUGUCCUGUCAAAAUUCCCAUAUUGCUCAGGUGACAAGAAGCACGAGGAAACCGAGUGGAAGUCCGUCUAAGGAAAUGACGCUUCUCUGUAUCUUUUGAUGUUACUCCUGAGACUGAUAUCAUCUGCAAGGUGUUUUUUUUUUUUUUUUUUUUUUUUUUUUUUUUUAAACAAACAAAAAAAACCUAAUAUGGAGUAAUUUACACUUAGUUUUUGGUGCUGUAGAACAGCCUGCUACUAGUGCAAACAUCAGCUUAAAAAUCUAGCUUUCUCCAUAAAGAAGAAAUAAGCUUUUCAGGACCAUUUCUGUGGUGGGAGUUGUUUUGAUUGAAAGUAAAUCUCCUUUGGAGCUCUGACAUGUCAUCAAUAAAUCAGCUAACAAAAUUCGUCCCAGCUUAACCGAUACGUAACGUGGCAAAUACAGUGCUCGAUCUGGGGUUUGGACGCUGAUAGAAGACUAAGCUGGUGGGAGACAGCAGAAAGGAGUGGGGUGAAAUGCAGGGUCAGGAUUGGACGUCCUGAACGCUCACCCCAACACCAGAGGCCACGGAGAGCGGGGCGUCACUGUGGUUGGGUCAGUGCAGAGGUGAUCCAAUUCCCCCCUUGCUGCAGCACUGCG
ensembl:lncRNA